rnacentral:rRNA from 1 species
CAAGUCGAACGCGAAAGUCCCCUUCGGGGGGCAAGUAGAGUGGCGCACGGGUGAGUAACACGUAGGUAAUCUACCUUUGGAUUGGGAAUAACAACCGGAAACGGUUGCUAAUACCGAAUAAUGCAGCGGCACCUAAUGGUGACAGUUGUUAAAGCGGGGGAUCGCAAGACCUCGCGUCUGAAGAGGAGCCUGCGGCAGAUUAGCUAGUUGGUAAGGUAACGGCUUACCAAGGCUAUGAUCUGUAGCCGGCCUGAGAGGGCGGUCGGCCACACUGACACUGACAUACGGGUCAGACUCCUACGGGAGGCAGCAGUCGGGAAUUUUGGGCAAUGGGCGCAAGCCUGACCCAGCAACGCCGCGUGAAGGAUGAAAUCCUUCGGGAUGUAAACUUCGCAAGAACGGGAAGAAUAAGUAAGAGUUAAUAUCUCUUACGAUGACGGUACUGUUUGUAAGCUCCGGCUAACUCCGUGCCAGCAGCCGCGGUAAUACGGGGGGAGCAAGCGUUGUUCGGAUUUACUGGGCGUAAAGGGCGCGUAGGCGGCCACCGCAAGUCGACUGUGAAAUCUCCGGGCUUAACCCGGAAAGGUCAGCCGAUACUGCGGGGCUAGAGUGCAGAAGGGGCAACUGGAAUUCUCGGUGUAGCGGUGAAAUGCGUAGAUAUCGAGAGGAACACCUGCGGCGAAGGCGGGUUGCUGGGCUGACACUGACGCUGAGGCGCGAAAGCUAGGGGAGCGAACGGGAUUAGAUACCCCGGUAGUCCUAGCCUUAAACGAUGAAUGCUUGGUGUCUGGGGUUUUAUAGUCCCCGGGUGCCGUCGCUAACGCUUUAAGCAUUCCGCCUGGGGAGUACGGUCGCAAGACUGAAACU